AGAGUUUGAUCCUGGCUCAGGAUGAACGCUGGCGGCGUGCUUAACACAUGCAAGUCGAAGAGGUUAAUUGAGCGGAUUAUUUCGGUAUGAAGCACUUUUAACUGAGUGGCGGACGGGUAGUAACGCGUGGGCAACCUGCCUCAUUCAGGGGGAUACCAGUUGGAAACGACUGUUAAUCCGCAUAAGCGCACGGUUCCGCAUGGAACAGUGUGAAAAGCUCCGGCAGAAUGAGAUGGCCCGCGUCUGAUUAGCUAGUUGGUGAGGUAACGGCCCACCAAGGCGACGAUCAGUAGCCACCUGAGAGGGUGACCGGCCACAUUGGGACUGAGACACGGCCCAAACUCCUACGGGAGGAGCAGUGGGGAAUAUUGCACAAUGGAGGAAACUCUGAUGCAGCGACGCCGCGUGAGUGAGAAGUAUUUCGGUAUGUAAAGCUCUAUCAGCAGGGAAGAAGAUGACGGUACCUGCACAAAAGCCCCGGCUAACUACGUGCCAGCAGCCGCGGUAAUACGUAGGGGGCAAGCGUUAUCCGAUUUACUGGGUGUAAAGGGAGCGUAGAUGGAAUGGCAAGUCAGAUGUGAAAGGCAUGGCUCAACCCGUGGACUGCAUUUGAAACUGCCAGUCUGGAGUGUCGGAGGGGCAGGCAGAAUCCUGGUGUAGCGGUGAAAUGCGUAGAUAUCAGGAGGAAUACCGGUGGCGAAGGCGGCCGCUGGACGAUAACUGACAUUGAGGCUCGAAAGCGUGGGGAGCAAACAGGAUUAGAUACCUGGUAGUCCACGCAGUAAACGAUGAAUACUAGGUGCUGGCUUCCACAGGGAGUCGGUGCGCCGCUAACGCAUUAAGUAUUCCACCUGGGGAGUACGUUCGCAAGAAUGAAACUCAAAGA
rnacentral:rRNA from 1 species